rnacentral:rRNA from 1 species
AAGCGUUUAUGACCAGACUUGUGUCGUGUGGCUCAUCCGAGGUUCUCCCCGGUGCACUCCACGCGGCUCAGGCCAACAUCGGUUCUUGUUGGGGGAUAAUAACGGCAGGAACGUAGCUCUCUUCGGGGAGUGUUAUAGCUUGCCGUACGAUACCCUGGCGGGGACCGAGGACCGCGCUUCGGCUAGGAUGUUGGCGUAAUGGUCAUUAGCGA